rnacentral:rRNA from 1 species
GUUGACCUCGGAUCAGGUAGGGAUACCCGCUGAACUUAAGCAUAUCAAUAAGCGGAGGAAAAGAAACCAACAGGGAUUGCCCUAGUAACGGCGAGUGAAGCGGCAACAGCUCAAAUUUGAAAUCUGGCGCAAGCCCGAGUUGUAAUUUGUAGAGGAUGCUU